rnacentral:rRNA from 1 species
AUUGAACGCUGGCGGCAGGCCUAACACAUGCAAGUCGAGCGGAGCGGCGGACGGGUGAGUAAUGCCCAGGAAUCUGCCUGGUAGUGUGGGAUAACGUACGGAAACGGGCGCUAAUACCGCAUACUAUUAGAUGAGCCUAGGUCGGAUUGGGUUGUUGGUGGGGUAAAGGUCUACCAAGGCGACGAUCCGGAACUGGUCUGAGAGGAUGAUCAGUCACACGGGAACUGAGACACGGUCCAGACUCCUACGGGAGGCAGCAGAGGGUAAUAUUGGACAAUGGGCGAAAGCCUGAUGCAGCCAUGCCGCGUGUGUGAAGAAGGUCUUCGGAUUGUAAAGCACUUUAAGUUGGGAGGCGUUACCAACAGAAUAAGCACCGGCUAACUUCGUGCCAGCAGCCGCGGUAAUAC